rnacentral:rRNA from 1 species
GACGAACGCUGGCGGCGCGCCUAACACAUGCAAGUCGAACGAGCGAGAGAGAGCUUGCUUUCUCUAGCGAGUGGCGUACGGGUGAGUAACGCGUGAGGAACCUGCCCCAAAGAGGGGGACAACAGUUGGAAACGACUGCUAAUACCGCAUAAGCCCUCGGCCCGCCUACGAGCAGGGGGAAAAGGAGCAAUACGCAUUGGGUUGGCCUCGCAACCGUUUUGCUAGUUGGUGCGGUGACGGCCCACCAUGGCGACGAACGGUAGCCGGACUGUGAGGUUGGACCGCCACAUCGGCGCUGAGACACGGCCGAGACUCCUACGCGAUGGAGGAGAGGGGGAUAGAGCAACGUGGCGGAGAUCCUGAAGGAGCGCGGCCGGGAAGAGCAAGAAGGUCGUCGGAUUGUAAACUCCUGUUGUCUGGGAAGAUAUUGACGGUACCUAACAAGGAAGCGACGGCUAACUACGUG